rnacentral:rRNA from 1 species
GGCUUAGAGUUUGAUCCUGGCUCAGAACGAACGCUGGCGGCAGGCUUAACACAUGCAAGUCGAACGCCCCGCAAGGGGAGUGGCAGACGGGUGAGUAACGCGUGGGAAUCUACCGAGCCCUACGGAAUAACGCAUGGAAACGUGUGCUAAUACCGUAUACGCCCUUAGGGGGAAAGAUUUAUCGGGGUUUGAUGAGCCCGCGUUGGAUUAGCUAGUUGGUGGGGUAAAGGCCUACCAAGGCGACGAUCCAUAGCUGGUCUGAGAGGAUGAUCAGCCACAUUGGGACUGAGACACGGCCCAAACUCCUACGGGAGGCAGCAGUGGGGAAUAUUGGACAAUGGGCGCAAGCCUGAGCCAUGCCAUGCCGCGUGAAAAAUGAAGGUCUUAGGAUUGAACCGCUCCAU